CAGCAGCCGCGGGAAUACGAGGGGGGCAAGCGUUGUUCGGAUUUAUUGGGCGUAAAGGGUGCGUAGGCGGUUUGGCAAGUCUUGUGUGAAAUCUUCGGGCUCAACCCGAAGCCUGCACGAGAAACUACCGGGCUUGAGUAUUGGAGAGGUGAGUGGAAUUUCCGGUGUAGCGGUGAAAUGCGUAGAGAUCGGAAGGAACAUCUGUGGCGAAGGCGACUAUCUGGGCCAACACUGACACUGAGGCACGAAAGCGUGGGGAGCAAACAGGAUUAGAGACCCCGGUAGUCCCUGUCUCUUAUAC
rnacentral:rRNA from 1 species